rnacentral:rRNA from 1 species
UUCACCGGAGCUUGCUCCACCGAAAGCAAAAGAGUGGCGAACGGGUGAAUAACACGUGGGUAACCUGCCCAUCAGAAGGGGAUACACUUGGAAACAGGUGCUAAUACCGUAUGACACUAUUUUCCGCAUGGAAGAAAGUUGAAAGGCGCUUUUGCGUCACUGAUGGAUGGACCCGCGGUGCAAUAGCUAAGUUGGUGAAGUAACGGCUCACCCAGGCUACGAGGCAUAGCCGACCUGAGAGGUGAUCGGGCCACACUGGGACUGAGACACGGCCCAGACUCCUACGGGAGGCAGCAGUAGGGAAUCUUCGGCAAUGGACGAAAGUCUGACCGAGCAACGCCGCGUGAGUGAAGAAGGUUUUCGGAUCGUAAAACUCUGUUGUUAGAGAAGAACAAGGAUGAGAGUAAAAUGUUCAUCCCUUGACGGUAUCUAACCAGAAAGCCACGGCUAACUACGUGCCAGCAGCCGCGGUAAUACGUAGGUGGCAAGCGUUGUCCGGAUUUAUUGGGCG